CCUACGGGGUGCAGCAGUGAGGAAUAUUGGUCAAUGGCCGGAAGCCUGAACCAGCCAAGCCGCGUGAAGGAAGAAGGUGCAAAGUAUUGUAAACUUCUUUUGUCAGGGGACAAAAGCAGGGACUAGUCCCCGGAUGAGGGUACCUGAAGAAAAAGCAUCGGCUAACUCCGUGCCAGCAGCCGCGGUAAUACGGAGGAUGCGAGCGUUAUCCGGAUUUAUUGGGUUUAAAGGGUGCGCAGGCGGCCUUUUAAGUCAGCGGUAAAAGGCCGGGGGUCAACCCCGGCGAGCCGUUGAAACUGGCGGGCUGGAGUUGGAGAGAGGUAUGCGGAAUGCGCGGUGUAGCGGUGAAAUGCGUAGAUAUUAGGAGGAACACCGGUGGCGAAGGCAGCAUGCUGGAGUGUGACUGACGUUGAGGCACGAAGGCGUGGGGAGCGAACAGGAUUAGAUACCCUUGUAGUC
rnacentral:rRNA from 1 species